AUUGAACGCUGGCGGCAGGCCUAACACAUGCAAGUCGAACGGUAACAGGAAGAAGCUUGCUUCUUUGCUGACGAGUGGCGGACGGGUGAGUAAUGUCUGGGAAACUGCCUGAUGGAGGGGGAUAACUACUGGAAACGGUAGCUAAUACCGCAUAACGUCGCAAGACCAAAGAGGGGGACCUUCGGGCCUCUUGCCAUCGGAUGUGCCCAGAUGGGAUUAGCUAGUAGGUGGGGUAACGGCUCACCUAGGCGACGAUCCCUAGCUGGUCUGAGAGGAUGACCAACCACACUGGAACUGAGACACGGUCCAGACUCCUACGGGAGGCAGCAGUGGGGAAUAUUGCACAAUGGGCGCAAGCCUGAUGCAGCCAUGCCGCGUGUAUGAAGAAGGCCUUCGGGUUGUAAAGUACUUUCAGCGGGGAGGAAGGGAGUAAAGUUAAUACCUUUACUCAUUGACGUUACCCGCAGAAGAAGCACCGGCUAACUCCGUG
rnacentral:rRNA from 1 species